AUACGUAGAUUUUUUUUAGGGGAUGUAGAAAAUUAAAUUAAUUGUAAAUUAUAUCUAAUAAAUUAGGGAUAUUUGAAUUGUUGAUGGUUUUCUUUUUAGUCUUUUUUUUAUUUUUUAAUUAAUUAGGUAAUUUUUUUUAAUUUUUAAUUUUUUAAUGAGAGUAAAUAGUUAGAAUAGAGAUAUAAUGAGGGUAAAAUGGGGUUUCUAAUAUUUUGGUGUCCUACCCCUCUUCCCAUAUAGAAUAGAGAUAUAAAAAAAAGAUUUAAAACAAAAUCGCCAGACUAAAUGGCAGUUUUUAUUAAUAAAUAGAAAACAUAGAAAUUAUGACCAUAGACGGCAGUUCAACCUAGGAUUCAACUUGUUCCUACUUUUCCUGCUUCCAUUUGAAUUCUUCUCCGUUCUUCAUCUUCUCCCUCCCAUUAUCUGCAAACAAAAUCUCAAGACUAACUCCCCUCUUCAAAGGCCAAAAGCAAGCAAUUCGAAGCAACAAAUAUGCAAGACUAUUUACUAAAAUUUCUCUUUUCAAAGGCCAAGAGCAGUAUAUUCCAACUAGAAAACCAAACUACGAGGAGUGACAAGGGAAAUCACAGUCAAAAGGUACCAGUAUUCAAAAUGGGCAAGAGUGAGGAAAAAAAAAACUUAGGAUUAAUAUACUAUAUGUUGUUAACUUAUGUUUUAUAAUAUUAGUAUCAUGUUUUAGGUUGUUUUCGCCUUGUAUUUCUAUUAUUAGGAAUACGACAGUAAUGUCCUGUAAACUCUUUAUAUCCUAUAAUAAACAAAGACAUAAUAUUUGGUUC